rnacentral:rRNA from 1 species
UCCGUAGGUGAACCUGCGGAGGGAUCAUUACAGAGUUGAAAAACUCCAACCCCUGUGUACCUUACCUUUAUCGUUGCUUCGGCGGAGGAGUCCCCCCCGGGGGAGGGCGCCGCCGGAGGUCACAAACUCUGAAUUUACAGUGUAUCUCUGAGGAAAAAAACAAAUAAUUAAAACUUUCAACAACGGAUCUCUUGGUUCUGGCAUCGAUGAAGAACGCAGCGAAAUGCGAUAAGUAAUGUGAAUUGCAGAAUUCAGUGAAUCAUCGAAUCUUUGAACGCACAUUGCGCCCGCCGGUAUUCCGGCGGGCAUGCCUGUUCGAGCGUCAUUUCACCACUCAAGCCCAGCUUGGUGUUGGGGCACCCGGCCGCCCAGCGGCUUCGGGGCCCCCAAGUACAUCGGCGGACCCGCUGGGGCCCUGAGCGCAGUAACUCGCGGUAAAACGCGCCUCGCUCGGUGGAUCCCCGGAGGGCAUUCCAGCCGCUAAACCCCCUAAUUUUCUUAGGUUGACCUCGGAUCAGGUAGGAAUACCCGCUGAACUUAAGCAUAUCAAUAAGCGGAGGAA